ACACCAUGUUGAAACACAAGUUCUCAUAUGAUCGCCAAAGUUAAGUAACAUUGAGCCUGGUCAGUACCUAGAUGGGUGACUACUUGAGAAUACCAGGUGCUGUAAG
rnacentral:rRNA from 1 species